rnacentral:lncRNA from 1 species
AAAACAUUCACAGAGCACUUACCUAAAGACAGCAUGUUCUUCCUGGAUGGGAUAGUGGGGAGACACAAGGAUAGAAAUUAAAAAAUAUAUAAUUUUUUUUCUUUUUCUGAUUUCUGGGUCAUUUUAUUUGCUGGUUGAAAUUGUUAGUGCUUGAAGACACAAUCUUGCUGACAGAUGCUAUUUCUAUUACACAGAGACCAUUCUGUUUGAUGAAACUUAGGAGUGGAAAAAAAGAAAAUUUGCACACAGGAACAAGUUAGAACUCCAGCAAAAAUAUGAAAGGAUUUCAUCCUUGUCCACUCUAAGGAAUAAUUGCUGGGGAAAAAAGGGGGGGGUGUGUGUGUGUGUGUAUACAUUUCCAUAAUUUACAUUUUAAAUAUGUAUAUAUGUACCAAUAAAUACAUAUUCAUGUUGUUGAGGAAAGAUUUUGUAACAAACCUGUUCUCUUGUUUCCAUCAUCUGUUUGAGUUUCUUGUUUAGUUCCUAUGAGAACAAGAAGCUUUCUGCUGACUGGAGCUGCUGUCUUUUCAAUAGCUUUUCAAAUGCUUCCUUGUGAUCUUUGGUGAGGUCAUGCAGGGAAUUUCUGGAAGUAUGGUACUAAACUCCGUACCCCUAAACUUCAAACAUCAUCUACGACCUGCCCAGAUAAGAACAAAAACUACACAGAUGACACAAGUUCUGACAAUCAGAAAUCACCACAUCACAGAAAUGAAUCGCAUGUACUGGAAUUCUAGAGACAGAUUCAAAGGAACGAGAGAUACUUGAGAGAAAGGAUAGAAAAAUAUCAAUUAAAAGAAGAUUAAAGAAGUCAGAAAUGCUAAAUGAGAACAGAUCAAGUAUAUGCCUUUGGCCCAAACUUGAGAACACUGAGGGAAUGGAAAGGUAAGGAAUGAAAAUGAAUAUGUAACAAAGGAACUAUGUAUAUGUGCAUAUGGAUAUAUAUUUGUCUGUAAUGUGGGAUCAUGUGUUUUGAGGAGUUUGCUAUCCAAAUGUUAAUGUUGCCUUGUUUGAAAGAUGUAUUUUCAUUCAGGAAAUAGAUUAGGAAACUGAACUUUAAUAU